CACUACUUAAUUUCAAAAUGAGUGUUUCAUGAUUUUAAAGAUAACAUAAAAUAACAAGCAAGAACAAGUUAUAACUUGUGUCAUGAACACACGAAUCAUGGGCUAAAUAUGGCUGAGAUUCGCUUCCGAAAUUCUCAAGAUUGUGGUUUCAACAAUCUAACUAUUCAUUAGCUUUUCAUCCAACUAUAAUUGCCAGACAAGGUUUCGACACGAAUUCCAUAAGCUUUUGAAAAAAGAAGAGACAGAGGGAGAUAGACAAGAUAGUAUGUGACAUAUACCUGCAGAUUAAACAUAUGAAGAU
rnacentral:lncRNA from 1 species